GACGAACGCUGGCGGCGUGCUUAACACAUGCAAGUCGAACGGAAAGGCCCUGCUUUUGUGGGGUGCUCGAGUGGCGAACGGGUGAGUAACACGUGAGUAACCUGCCCUUGACUUUGGGAUAACUUCAGGAAACUGGGGCUAAUACCGGAUAGGAGCUCCUGCUGCAUGGUGGGGGUUGGAAAGUUUCGGCGGUUGGGGAUGGACUCGCGGCUUAUCAGCUUGUUGGUGGGGUAGUGGCUUACCAAGGCUUUGACGGGUAGCCGGCCUGAGAGGGUGACCGGCCACAUUGGGACUGAGAUACGGCCCAGACUCCUACGGGAGGCAGCAGUGGGGAAUUUUGCACAAUGGGCGGAAGCCUGAUGCAGCAACGCCGCGUGCGGGAUGACGGCCUUCGGGUUGUAAACCGCUUUCGCCUGUGACGAAGCGUGAGUGACGGUAAUGGGUAAAGAAGCAGCGGCUAACUACGUG
rnacentral:rRNA from 1 species